UCAAAAGGGGAGAUCAGACUUCAAGGAAAUGGAUCCUGAUGGUUGAUCAUGGCCUGCCAGAAACCAAACUCCUCUCCCUCCCAAAGAAAGCCUCAGGUGCCUCCUCCUCAACUCCAGUGCUUCCGAGUCAAUCCAGAUCGGGCCUUGGAGAAUGAGCAAGAGAGCUAGGCAGGCCACACAGCCAGGCAGCAAGAAUCUCCCAGGCUGUGCUCUGCCUGGGCCCAGCUCUGCCAGCCUUCUUUCUACUUUCACUACUGGGAAGAAAUGAGUAAGAAGUCGGAGAUAGUUCUGUCUUAGAAACAAACUCCCUUUUCUCUUGCCACUCAGCCUUCGAGGGCCUUAUCUUGUCACCUUCAACUUACAAGGCCAGCUGGCUUUCUGAGGCAAGGAGGUCUGUCUCCUUCACCUCCCUGUGACCGAGCUCUUUCAAUUCUAAGUUGGCCCCAUCUGGAGUUGUCUGAGCCACGCAAGGCUGGGAGCCUGUUUUCCCCUCACCCCGACCUCACAGACUGAGAGCUAGAUUGAGAGCCAGGUCACAGAGCAGACCAGACCGGUCCUGAUCACAGCUGGUGGCAGGGAACUUCCCAAGCUGCCCCGCUGGAGCUGCCCGGGAAUGCUGGUGGAAACCAGGUCUUGGCAGGGGGAGGGCGGCUCAAAGGCUGGCGGAGAGGAAAGGGGCAGCAUCAAGUCCAGGCCGGGCGCCCACCCGCUCGGCCGCCCGUGGAGUCCCGCGCUCACCCGGUUGCGGGUCACGGUGUGGUUGAAGGUGUAGAUGUUGACCAGCUCGCUGUUGACGUCGUCCGCGUAGGUGCGCUCAAACUCCGCGUCUUUCUGCGAGACGUUCUUGGGCCCCAGGGCCCCCAGGUGGCUCUCGACGGAGGCCACCAAGAGCACGCACAAGGGCAGACGCCAGGCGAUCAUGGCCCGGGACGGCGGGGAUUGGCGACGGGACGGCGACCGGGCGCGUUGCGGCUGCCGCAGCAGCUUCCAGCAUCUCACCGGGACCAGAACUUUAACCCCGGCCUCAGAUAGGACGCGUCCCCUCCCUGGAGCCGCUCCUGGGCCUCGCGCGGAUCCCGGCUCGCGAGGGCGGCACCGCGACCCGCUACCCCAGCCCGGCCCAGCCCGGCCCAGCCCGGCUGGAGACCCGGCGUCCGCUCGCGCCCGGAGAGCCGAGGCGGCGGUGGCCCUGGCCCGAAGGCUUCCCGGACGCGGGCCCUUUAAGGGCGGCGGACGCGGCGCAGAACUCGGAGCUACCAGGAGCUGCGCCGCGGUAAACAGCGGGCUGUGCCCGCCCGCUUACGUCAUGGGAAACCGACGCGGAUUUAAAGGGCCAGGCUGCCUCUACUUCCCACGCAGCCGUCGCCGCCUCCUUCCUUCGCUGUCCUGUGAGCGUCUGGAGUUGGGUUUUUCACGAAGGAUCACUAAGUAUUGGAUUCUUGCUUUUGUGGUCCGCGUUUUUUUGGCUUUUUGAGACGGCUCACAUAACUCAGGCUGGUCUGGAACUGGUCGUGUAAGUUUGGAGAGUCUUGAACGCCUGAUCCUCCUCCCACCUCUACUGCUGGGUGUUGGCAUUGCUGGCAAGAUUCACAGAGCCCAGUAAGUGCAGGGUCUUGCUGACAGAUGAUUUCUUUGCUCAAGACAGGAAUUGUGCUCCAAAAUCAUUACCCCAGCAUCAUUCUUUUUCCCUCAUUGGCUCAUAAAAGCGCCUGCCCACUGAGAGCAGCUCAGCGGCCGCUCCCCUCUCACAGUAGAGGGGAUAACCAGAACCAGGGCACCAUAACCAGGAUGCCUUCCAACCUGUGAGCUCUGUCCCUACUCUGCAGAAACUGCUUUGUUUGUUUGAACAAAGCCCACGGAAAGAUUCUGACCUUUCGUUGUCAACUGGCAAAAACCUUUCUGAGGAACUGUUUUGGCUUAGGCUUAAAAGAGCUCUAUACCCUUCAACCCAGUCAUUCCACUCCAGGGACUGUGUCCUACGAAUAAGAAAUACAAAUAAAAUAUGGGGACAGC
rnacentral:lncRNA from 1 species